UAUUUGCGUGAAGGAUUGUAGUGACAUCCUUUUUAAUUUUGAUAAAAAUUGAAAAGAUAUAACGAAAAGCCUGACCUUUA
rnacentral:sRNA from 1 species